GCCAUGGCUGAUAUAAAUGAUAUCUCUUAAGGAAAUUGCUGCGGAUCUAUCUGAUGCAUCAUCUAUCAACGAUGCUCAAAUCUUUUCUCAAGUUCUUGGAUCACGCUCUGGAUAUUUGAAGGGUUUAGGACGUUGC